rnacentral:RNase_P_RNA from 1 species
GGAGUUGGCCGAGCAGUCGCUGCCCAGUUAAUGGGGAGAGGAAAGUCCGGACUUCAAAGGGCAGGGUGCCAGGUAACGCCUGGGAGACGUGAGUCUAUGGAAAGUGCCGCAGAAAAUAUACCGCCUCGUCAUUUAUUUCGGUAAUUGGUGAGGUAAGGGUGAAAUGGUGCGGUAAGAGCGCACCGCGCUGAUGGUAACAUCAGUGGCAGGGUAAACCCCACCUGAAGCAAGACCAAAUAGGGAUCCUGAGUCGUGGCCCGCGAUGGAUCCGGGUAGGUCGCUCGAGUAUUAUGGUGACGUAAUGCCUAGAUGAAUGACUGUUCCAGACAGAAUCCGGCUUAUGGCCAACUCCAUUU